UGGUGAGUAUCAUCUUUGAUGGAGUAGGUGUUGAAUCAGAGAAAAGUGAGAUAACAAGGUCUUUGCUGGUGGAGUUUUCUGAGAAAUCGGAAAUCUCGGAGGAUUCAUCAGAAUGUUGUUACUCUAUGGUGACCGAUGAAUGUAGUGCAGGUAAAGAGAAGGUAUCAUCAUCAUCAUCAUCAUCAUCAUCAUCAUGCAUUGAUGAUGAUAAUUCAUCUGUUUGGUCAAUCCAAGUAAAUGCAAGCACCCAUGAUGAAGAUGACGAAACAACUAUUGAAGAAAUGGGAGAUGAUUACCAUGAAGAUGCAGAAGAAAUGGGUGAUGAUGAUGAUGG
rnacentral:lncRNA from 1 species